GGACGAACGCUGGCGGCGUGCUUAACCCAUGCAAGUCGAACGGAAAGGCCCCUUUGGGGGUACUCGAGUGGCGAACGGGUGAGUAACACGUGAGUAACCUGCCCUUGACUUCGGGAUAACUUCAGGAAACUGGGGCUAAUACCGGAUAGGAAUCCUUGCUGCAUGGUGGGGGUUGGAAAGCUUCGGCGGUUUUGGAUGGACUCGCGGCUUAUCAGCUUGUUGGUGGGGUAGUGGCUUACCAAGGCUUUGACGGGUAGCCGGCCUGGGAGGGCGACCGGCCACAUUGGGACUGGGAUACGGCCCAGACUCCUACGGGGGGCAGCAGUGGGGAAUAUUGCACAAUGGGCGGAAGCCUGAUGCAGCAACGCCGCGUGCGGGAUGACGGCCUUCGGGUUGUAAACCGCUUUCAGCAGGGGCGAAGCUUGUGGUGACGGUACCUGCAGAAGAAGCACCGGCUAACUACGUG
rnacentral:rRNA from 1 species